CUGAAUCAACUUCUUAAAAUGAGUAACAAAGUAUGUUUCCUUUUUCUGUUUGCCUCUAUGUAUUUUUGUUAUCAAUGUCCUUAGUUUUGUUCUCGCUGCUCACAGCUUUGCUCUCACUACCAGAUUUGCACUUACACUGUCUGGCUUUCUCCUUUGCAAUCCCUGAGUUUUUGGUUGCAAUUCUGACACAACCCUUUCGGGUGGGCGGGACUUCUGAGAAGUCCUCUCCCAUAGGACAGUGGUUUCUCUUGAGUGACAGUUCAGUGACCUGGAAGUGAUGUAGCCUCCAAGACAUUUUUUUUCCACCUGGUCAACAACAUGAAUUUUGAGCCCCAAACACGUUAUUUCUGCUGUCUGUGGUGUCUACUGAGGAUCUAAAGAACCUGUGGAACAUCAGAGACUUUGCAGCUACUGGAGCUAACCUGUGUACUGCUAACUUGCUACAGAGGAAGCAGCAGAAAGCUGAGCUAACAGGCUGUUUUGCAGUGAAACGAAUGGAUUUUAUGAUGUAACUCUGACUGAAUAAUUAUCCAAAUUGAAAACUACUGCAUUGCAUUACAAUGGAAGUGCUACACGGCCACAUUCAUCAACUGCAGCUGUUGACAAGCAUAUGGACCUAUUGUCCGAGUCGGUGGUGGUGGAUGCUCUACCAUAUCAGGAGUCUGACUAAGUACUUGUGCCUGAACCUCUCUGUGUCUAGUUCAAAAGACCUGAAAGACCUGCUUUAAGCAGGCACAGGUUAAGAUUUUAAAAGAACCUGUAAGGUUGCCUGAUGCUGAACUUCGGGCAGCUGCGUGUGACUGUACUCCCGUGGAACAACCGCCUGUGGGAGGAGUCGUUGUGUUGCUGUCAGGAGUUUGGGUCGGAGUCCUGGGUUUGUGUUCCCUUUAAUCUCUUCAUUAGCCUUGCUAGUCACCAUUGCAGAGCACCAUGGAGAGGCUUACCUGAAAACUCUUCUCAUGGGGCAGGCACAUCCUCACACCUGUAACCCCAUCCUUGAAUAAAAGCUGGUAGCUGGUCACUCAUCAGAGUUUUAACCCAUAUCUAGCCCAUGACUCUGCCGUUUUUCAAACUUACGUUCUCAUUUUCUAUGCAGAUCUAUGGGAAUUCUUUCCUUGAAGCUCCUGAUCACACAACCAUACUGGCAGUCGGCUUACCCACUACCUUCUGCUCACCCGCUUGCAACUCAUGCUGUCAUUCUCCCAGACUUCUGGUUGUUUCUCCACCAUUCUGCUGUCUCCCGUCUGCGCUACAACUUCAGACCUUAAGUACCUAAACUUUUCCUUUUGUAUGUCAUUCUUUAGUCAUUACUAACACUCAAUUUUACCUCAGGGCCUUCUGAUCUUUAAACACUAAAACCUGUGGCUCCAUCUCUGUGGCGUUUCUCAGUCUCUGUAAGCUACCUGCACAGUCUAAGAAAAACCUGACCUGUUGCCUCUUACUAACCUCUGCUCUUCCUCGCAGAAGCUUCUGGUUCCUGAUCUCCAGCAGUUACCUCUUCAAUCAUUCAUCAAUUUUAAUAAACUGUUUUUAGCUCA